rnacentral:rRNA from 1 species
UACAGAGGUCCCAAGCGUUGUUCGGAUUCACUGGGCGUAAAGGGUGCGUAGGUGGUCAGGUAAGUCUGAUGUGAAAUCUCUGGGCUUAACCCAGAAACUGCAUUGGAUACUAUCUGGCUAGAGGAGUGGAGGGGGGACUGGAAUACUUGGUGUAGCAGUGAAAUGCGUAGAUAUCAAGUGGAACACCAGUGGCGAAGGCGAGUCCCUGGACACUUCCUGACACUGAGGCACGAAAGCUAGGGGAGCAAACAGG